UCUGUCACAACUAGUAUGGAUAUUCUCUUGGUGUAGAAUCAUUCUGACAAAUAAUAAAAGGUGUUGUAGCUACAGUCUGCCUUUAAGGAGUUGACCCAACACAGGUGUGAUGUUACGUGGGUGGAACAACUACUUGGUCCUUACCUGGCCAAACAUCAAUCAGUCUACAAACAUCAGAAUCUAGCCUCUUGAGGAAGAGGAACAUUGGCAACACACCAUGACCAGGUAGAACGUCCAGUCUACAUCAAACGGUCAGGUGACAGGUGCCUCUGGCCAUGCUGGCUGACAUUACAGGGUGAUAAUACAACAUGAUUAGCCUGUCAGUACCUCGCUGUAUCAGAUGUGCUUUAAGCUGGGCUGCCUUUUAGCAAGGCGUACGCCAGGUUUACAACCUAAAUCACACCAGAUUACAUAACACAUUGUCAUUUAAAUUUCCCUCCUGUGUGUACUUUUAACAGGUGAAGCAAUAAAACUAUAAGAAAUUA